rnacentral:rRNA from 1 species
GGGUAGCGGAACACGUACAGAACCUUCCUUCCAGCGGGGAAUAGCCCGGGGAAACCCGGAUUAAUACCCCAUAGUAUGAUGAAGAGGCAUCUCUUUAUUAUUAAAGAUUUAUCACUGAAAGAUGGCUGUGCGGCUGAUUAGAUAGUUGGCGGGGUAACGGCCCACCAAGUCUGCGAUCAGUAACUGGUGUGAGAGCACGACCAGUCACACGGGCACUGAGACACGGGCCCG